rnacentral:rRNA from 1 species
GACGAACGCUGGCGGCGUGCUUAACACAUGCAAGUCGAACGGAAAGGCCCUGCUCUUGUGGGGUGCUCGAGUGGCGAACGGGUGUGUAACACGUGAGUAACCUGCCCUUGACUUUGGGAUAACUACAGGAAACUGGGGCAAAUACCGGAUAGGAGCUCCUGCUGCAUGGUGGGGGUUGGAAAGUUUCGGCGGUUGGGGAUGGACUCGCGGCUUAUCCGCUUGUUGGUGGGGUAGUGGCUUACCAAGGCUUUGACGGGAAGCCGGCCUGAGGGGGUGACCGGCAACAUGGGGACUGGAAUACGGCCCGGACUCCUCCGGGGGGCGGCGGUGGGGAAUAUUGCACAAUGGGCGGAGGCCUGAUGCAGCAACGCCGCGUGCGGGAUGACGGCCUUCGGUUGGUAAACCGCUUUCGCCUGUGACGAAGCGUGAGUGACGGUAGUGGGUAAAGAAGCACCGGCUAACUACGUG